AAGUUGAGCCAAAGGAUCAAGAUUUGUGGAAUAACGCAAACACAUUUUCAACCAUCGAAUUGGAAUCCUAGAAAGGGGAUUCGUUUACUUCAAUAUUCCAAAUUUCAGAUACAGGUAAGUGUGUGUUUGUGUGUUCAUGCAUGUUGUUGAAAUCAUUUUUCCUACCGUUUUUGCAUUUCUUACAUAUUCUUUUAGCUUGCUUGCUCCACAUGCACUGUACAUGCCGUUAGGGUCCGUUUGGGUGCCAUGAA